rnacentral:rRNA from 1 species
GACGAACGCUGGCGGCGUGCUUAACACAUGCAAGUCGAACGGAAAGGCCCUGCUUUUGUGGGGUGCUCGAGUGGCGAACGGGUGAGUAACACGUGAGUAACCUGCCCUUGACUUUGGGAUAACUUCAGGAAACUGGGGCUCAUACCGGAUAGGAGCUCCUGCUGCAUGGUGGGUGUUGGAAAGUUUCGGCGGUUGGGGAUGGACUCGCGGCUUAUCAGCUUGUUGGUGGGGUAGUGGCUUACCAAGGCUUUGACGGGUAGCCGGCCUGGGAGGGUGUCCGGCCACAGCGGGGCUGGGUAGCGGCACGGAGUGCUGGGGGGGGCAGAGGGGGGAAAAGACACAGAGGGGGGGCAGGGGGGAGGCGGCAGCGGGGGGUGGGGGAAGACGGACGGAGAUUUGAAACACGCUUUCGGCGGGAACGAAGCGGGAGUUAGGGAAAGGAGGAAAGAGGCGACGGAUAACUAAGUGCCAGAAGGGGAGAAAAAAAGACCGCGAGCCAGAGC